CAUUUCCGCAACCUAAGUACCCUGUGUGUUCAUACACAUGUCGAGUGCUUUGUUUUUGCUGAACAGCUUUAUCUGAAACGAUAAUUUUAUUGGACAUUAAAAACAUUUACGUGCCACGACAUCAACGCCAGUCACAUGAUAUUAAAAAGCCAUGCCAAGAAAUAUGACAUAAGGCAUAAAACAAAGGCAUGAAGCAGACGACAAAUUCUGGGGUGCGUGUGGCGGUAAUGACAAGAAAGGAAAGGCGAAGAGAAAAAGUUGGUCAACGGAGGACCAGUAUCGCAUAUCAGGCCCAUCCGUCAUAAGCUACCCAAGGAUACUGAAGACCCACUCGCCCCUUGACUUUGCUUUGUGCCAAACAUGGCGUAAAACACCGUGCCGAAAUGGAAGCUAAGUAAUAACUCAGCCAAGAGCGUGGCUCAUGCAAGGACCCCUGGCAGGACAUAUAAGGACUUCUUGACUCGGCCAAUUGGUGCACGGGGCCCUAAAGAUCCGAAUGCCGAUGUUGCCUUCGUGGGCCAACACAUCAUGAGCUGACUACGUGACAUUGCGUGGAGUUCUCCUCUGAAUAGACAAAGGCUGGUCCAACCAGCAUGCAAGACUUUUUGUAGUAAAAGCUAAGAAACAAAAAAUUGUUAUUUAUAUGCGGAAAAAUUCUCAUCUACCUAAAUAAAGCUGAUAGGCUUGUGUUUUAAAUAUAAUCCUGAA